AAAGUGACUGCGAACGAGCGGAGUAAGGGAAACGCGGAUUGCCAGAGAAGAGAGGCCACCGGGUGAGAGCCUCUUUCAAUUUAGUCCCCUGAACGUGGCUCGGAAGUCGAAGAACUGAGAUGCACAAAACGUGUAGUAAGUUCUUCCGGGUGUGGCCCGUUAUUGCUGCACAUAAGGAUAGUCUGACCCUUGUCAUGGUUGGGCGGGUCGACUAUCGAAUCAAGGUGGUACCGCGAGCGCUGCCCUCGUCCUUGUU
rnacentral:ncRNA from 1 species